rnacentral:lncRNA from 1 species
CCUAGAAUGGUAGUUUUCUGUGGAUUAGCUUUCUGUGGUUGUAUAAAAUUAUUCUAAAAUGUAAAGUGAAAAGGGAUGAGAUGAGAACACUGCAGAUCUUCUGCUGCUAUUUAACCUUCCAGCUCUAAACACUGAAGUGGACGGCCUUUCUGAGCUGAGGAAGGGAAGAGCUGCUGCGUAGAGGCUGGGGCUGGGUGCACUCCUUAGCCCUGUAGUGAGGCGCAUUUUUAGUAAGACUUCCCUGAAAGUCAAAUGAAAACACAGAUUAUAGUUCUGCUGAUUUUCUUAUUCUUUUGAGUCACAAAAUCCCUUGUUAUCUAUAUUUUCUGAGUUUCUGUGGUUUUCUGGAAAACAUGGAUUUUGAAGUGAAUUUUUUCCCCAAAUACAAACUUCAGUACUUUUCUAAAAUUAAAAUAGAGGAGGAAAAAUGGAUUUUUACAAUGUUUUUCUUCCAUUUAAUUAAUAAUUGAUGUGAUUCUGUAAUAAACUUCAAAGUUUAAAGUAGAUUUGAUUUUCCAAUGUGAAGUCUUGGUAAAUAUUAUUUUAAUGGUGCCAUUUAAAAUUAACAUUUAUUAGAUGUCAUCAAAUUCUUAGCAUAUUUUGACCAUGACAUUGCUGAGCCUCUACAACUUUUUAAAGCACCUACAUUCAUGUAUUUAGUAUUAUGAGCUGUCUGCAGGUGCAAUAACAUGUGUUAGCCAAGUGUGUCCUUUCCAGAGUCUCAGUCUAGUUGAGACCUGAGCUGUCUGUUGCUUUUGUCCUCGGAAUAAGUUUCCCAUCAAUCUUACCUAAAAAGCCUGGUUCAAAUGGCAUUGUUGCUUUUAUGAGGAGGCAGUCAUAAGGCACAGUUUUGCCUCCAUUAUAAUCUGUGUAUGUGGAUUCAACAGCCUUCCUGACUGCCUGACUGAAUGCUUUUCAGAAUCUGAAGGAAAGCUUUGUCCAGGAACAGUCUGAUAGGCAGUGAGAUUUAUCUGAGGUCCAAUUGUUGUUGCUAAGUAAAAACAAAUGUCUGAGACAAAUGAAAAGUCUGCAUUUACACUCUGGAAAAUGUGUUCUAGUGGUCAGAACUUCACUCGUGAACUUAAUGUUUUAUCAUUAGUUGACAUAGACUUACAAGUAAAACAAGCUCCAAAGUAAACACAGCAGUGGCAGGUAGGGGCUGGGCACUGUAGGAAGAAGGCCAGAAAGACACUUGGUUAUCUUCCAAAUGGAACAUGGAAUAUUCAAUGAUUUAUUUUUAUAUUAACUUAGAUGUGGAAAUAAACGUGCAUGUACAGUAGAUUUUUAAGGACAUUUUAUUUCUGAUUUUAGCGUAAAAAUAUAUACUCAAAAACACUUCUAUCAACAAGUUUUUUUAAAAUCACAGAAUCAAGCCUGAUCUAAGUUAACACACUUCUGUUACAUAAUUAAACUAUUUCUUAAAACAACAAUAACAACAGUAUUUUACAACCAGUCUCUUCUCAGUUCUAAACUCAGCUUGACAGUAUUGCUACCCCACCCUGCCACUGGGACAAGUGUCAUUCUUUAAAUACCAAGGUCAUUGCUUUGAGUUGUAUAUAAGAUACCAUGUAAGCCACUCAUGGUAAGUGUUGGAAGCAUUGCCUUUUGCUGCUCUGUUCUGCAUUGACCCCAGUUUUGCCCUCCUCCCAUGAAUGUAGUAUUAUUCAUAGAUUAUACAUAACUACAUGUAUUGCUUUUGGCAGUAAAUCAAGUUCUAGUUGUAAUUUUCCAGCUGUGAAAAUGUUGCCUUGUAUUUAAAAGGGUUUCACGAGUGGAAACCUAAGUAAAUAAGCUCAUUAGUGACCGACCUGCUUCUUCAUGUUCCCCUUCCCAUCUCCACAUUCCUCCUGCACCCUGCUUCCCACCACCAUGUGAGUGCUUAUUCUUAACAAGGAGAAUCUUUAAAAAUGAGAAAUAAAAAAGAAAGACCUGCUAUCUCUAAGUAUCUAUAGUAACUGUUACACUAAGCUUCUGUUUUCCCCUAAAAAUUAAAAGCAGCUUACCUGGAUUAGAAAAGCAGGCUGAGACUCCUUGCUGUCUGUGCCAUCAUCUGUCUCUAGGUGCAGUAGGUGUCACUCGUGUGUGCGUGUGGGUGAAGUGUGAGCAUGCCCAGUCAUUUGAUCUCUUCUCAGAGGGAAGGACUGCACUGCAAGCUCGUGGUGCUAUUGGAGAGGGUCUGUCAGCACAUACUGAAAGCCCCCCAUUUUCACAGAUUUAUAACUUUAAUAAUCCAGAUGCUGUCCUUGGAAGUAUUUAAUAUGCAAUAGGUAGCACCUUUACUAAUUAAUCUGCAUAUGAAGGGCUUCCUGAUGUAUCUAAUAAGAUGUGUAGAAGCUCUUCAAGCAUUAAACUAAAGUUGACGUUUUAUUUCAUUUACUUUUCUCUGUCAAAAAAUAUCAACCACUUACAAUGGAAUUGAAGUCUGUUACCUAAUGGUAUUAGGGUCUUUUAAUUUCUGAAGCUUCUAGAUUGUUUGUAUUGUGAGGUACAGAAGAAAAUGCUGCAGAUCUAGAAAUGUAUGUUCUUAGCACGUGUUUGAAUGAUGUAAGCAUUAUUUAUAAUUGAAAAGUACUACCCCUACAUUCCUAAGUCAAUGCUUAGUAACUCAUAUACAUUUUUGCAGGUACAAAAGUAUAUAAACAUUGUAUAAUGUGACAGUUGUAUAAUUUAUGUAAUCUGAUGCAUGAAUCAGAAUUUUUAUAUAUGAUAAUUGAUUUGUUAUAGUUGAUUAAAGUGUUUAAACUUA